rnacentral:rRNA from 1 species
CCUACGGGGGACAGCAGUGAGGAAUAUUGGUCAAUGGACGAGAGUCUGAACCAGCCAAGUAGCGUGAAGGAUGACUGCCCUAUGGGUUGUAAACUUCUUUUAUAUGGGAAUAAAAUGUUCCACGUGUGGGAUUUUGUAUGUACCAUAUGAAUAAGGAUCGGCUAACUCCGUGCCAGCAGCCGCGGUAAUACGGAGGAUCCGAGCGUUAUCCGGAUUUAUUGGGUUUAAAGGGAGCGUAGGUGGAUUGUUAAGUCAGUUGUGAAAGUUUGCGGCUCAACCGUAAAAUUGCAGUUGAAACUGGCAGUCUUGAGUACAGUAGAAGUGGGCGGAAUUCGUGGUGUAGCGGUGAAAUGCUUAGAUAUCACGAAGAACUCCGAUUGCGAAGGCAGUUCACUGGACUGAAACUGACACUGAGGCUCGAAAGUGUGGGUAUCAAACAGGAUUAGAUACCCCUGUAGUC